GCCACAUUAGAGAAGUUUUUCAGCUUUAUGGUGAUGAAGUGAGGCAUUGAGGCCAACCCUGAGAAAAUCAAGGGGGUCCUUGACAUGAAACCUCCAACUUCUCGACAGAAUAUCCAGAGAUUGGUAGGAUGCAUUACAUCCUUAAGCCGAUUCAUCUUCAAGUCCGCAGAGUGAUGCCUUCCCUUCUUCAAGACCCUUAGGCAGAUGAAGGACUUCACCUAGAUGGAAGAAUGUCAAAAAUUCUUUGAUG
rnacentral:lncRNA from 1 species